AGACCCGAAACCCGGUGAUCUAGCCAUGGGCAGGUUGAAGGUUGGGUAACACUAACUGGAGGACCGAACCGACUAAUGUUGAAAAAUUAGCGGAUGACCUGUGGCUGGGGGUGAAAGGCCAAUCAAACCGGGAGAUAGCUGGUUCUCCCCGAAAGCUAUUUAGGUAGCGCCUCGUGAAUUCAUCUCCGGGGGUAGAGCACUGUUUCGGCUAGGGGGCCAUCCCGGCUUACCAACCCGAUGCAAACUGCGAAUACCGGAGAAUGUUAUCACGGGAGACACACGGCGGGUGCUAACGUCCGUCGUGAAGAGGGAAACAACCCAGACCGCCAGCUAAGGUCCCAAAGUCAUGGUUAAGUGGGAAACGAUGUGGGAAGGCCCAGACAGCCAGGAUGUUGGCUUAGAAGCAGCCAUCAUUUAAAGAAAGCGUAAUAGCUCACUGGUCGAGUCGGCCUGCGCGGAAGAUGUAACGGGGCUAAACCAUGCACCGAAGCUGCGGCAGCGACGCUGAUGCGUUGUUGGGUAGGGGAGCGUUCUGUAAGCCUGCGAAGGUGGCCUGUGAGGGUUGCUGGAGGUAUCAGAAGUGCGAAUGCUGACAUAAGUAACGAUAAAGCGGGUGAAAAGCCCGCUCGCCGGAAGACCAAGGGUUCCUGUCCAACGUUAAUCGGGGCAGGGUGAGUCGACCCCUAAGGCGAGGCCGAAAGGCGUAGUCGAUGGGAAACGGGUUAAUAUUCCCGUACUUGGUGUUACUGCGAAGGGGGGACGGAGAAGGCUAUGUUGGCCGGGCGACGGUUGUCCCGGUUUAAGCGUGUAGGUGUGUGUUCCAGGUAAAUCCGGUUCACUUUAACACUGAGGCGUGAUGACGAGGCACUACGGUGCUGAAGCAACAAAUGCCCUGCUUCCAGGAAAAGCCUCUAAGCAUCAGGUAACAUCAAAUCGUACCCCAAACCGACACAGGUGGUCAGGUAGAGAAUACCAAGGCGCUUGAGAGA
rnacentral:rRNA from 1 species